rnacentral:rRNA from 1 species
CAGUCGCCGCGGGAACACGAAGGGUGCAAGCGUUAAUCGGAAUUACUGGGCGUAAAGCGUGCGUAGGCGGUUUGUUAAGUCUGUUGUGAAAUCCCCGGGCUCAACCUGGGAAUGGCAAUGGAUACUGGCAAGCUAGAGUGUGUCAGAGGAUGGUGGAAUUCCACGUGUAGCAGUGAAAUGCGUAGAGAUGUGGAGGAACACCGAUGGCGAAGGCAGCCCCCUGGGCCAAUACUGACGCUCAUGCACGAAAGCGUGGGGAGCAAACAGGAUUAGAUACCCGUGUAGUCCCUGUCUCUUAUAC